GAAGGAAAAUGGUGAUUUACCGGAAAAUAAGUUAGUAUUAUGUUACAUGUAGAGUUAGAUACAAAGAAUAUUAAUCGUACAAGAAAGGAAUCGGUGUGUGUAUAUAGGAUAAGGUAUGCCAAAAUAGGGAAUACAAGAAAGUAUCUUCUUUUUAUAUCUAUAAUAUAUAUUUCCAAACCUUACUUACCAAAAGGAAGAUGUCUGUAUUAUAUGGGUCCAAAUUUGAUCGACCGUAAUUUAUAACGAGCAUGAUAGACGACCGAAUAUCUUUGAGUCGACGUCCCGAGGGGCACGAUCUCGGAGCAAAAGAAGAAAUGGUACGACCCCUGCAAUAGAACAAACCCAUUAGGAGACAUUAAGAAUAUUCAGUCCAAGAUUCUUUAUUUUUGGUUUUUACAACUGAGAGGAAUUCCUCUCUAGUAUAUAAGAGGGGCAAAAGCCUUGUAAUUGUUGGGAGAAAACUCUGGAAAACUUACCAAUAGAAUGAAAAGAAACUUUGCAACUCUCCUCUCUCUAUCUAUUACGAGGAGGGAUAGCCCAAUUUAUACAACCUAUAUUAUUUCAUUAUACAUAUUUCGACUUUCUCUUGUGAAAGGUCUCAAUAAUUUUUCAAAUUUCUUUGUAAGACGUACCAAAGAUUCUAAUAAAUAUUUGCUCCUGAGAUGAUACAAGCACUUUCGGAUUAGAUAUGCGGGAAACGUAGAUCUAAUUAUUAUGUUCUAAAAAUAUUUAAAAGAAAAAAUAUCAUGAGCCAAACAAUGUUUUACCUUUAGGUUACCAUUCUUUGUAACCUAGAUUAACGGUAAAACCAUACAUAUUGAUAGUAUCCCAAAUGGAGAGGGGAAUUUACAGAGCUUUUUGGCCCACUUCCUUUUGCUGUAGAAAAACUCUGUAAAAUGACAAAUCAUACAAGAAGGUGUAAGUUAAAUAAUUUCCAGUUUGCCGGAGGAACAGAGGCAUACUGUUGCAACAUUGAAACUGUCAGAGCAACAAUGCCGUAUGUCCACAGCAGAGAGAAUUUUCCAGUGUUGCAGACAUUCUAAUUUCUUACAGAAUAGUCGUAUGAAGAAAUAGAUAAAGAGUGCAGAAAGCAUAAUUUUUUACUCAGAGUGAAAGAAAAGUUUUGACAAGAGGGGUUGCUCUGAUGGUAAGCAACCCCCACUUUCAACCGAGAGGUUGUGAGNNN
rnacentral:lncRNA from 1 species